rnacentral:lncRNA from 1 species
UGUCCGUUGGAGAAAUCCCCGAACCAAAUCGAACGAGAACAGUCGGGUGGAAGCCGAAGAUCGGGAAGACUUCCACCGGCUGAAAGACAUCUCAAUGCCGAAGCAGAGGGAGCUCGUCACUGAGCAGGCACUAUACGACGCCGGCCUCAGCCCGGUCCCUCGCUUAGGUGGGUUUUUCAUUUUUCUUCCCCUUUUUCAUUUUUGUUUUUCCUUUAUGGUGCUAACCAUUUAUCGUCGUUCACAGAUAUGCCGCC